rnacentral:lncRNA from 1 species
AAAUGAUAGACCAUUCAAAUUGAAGAGCCAAACUCUAGGGCAUGAUGCCUAGAAACCAAAAUUAAUAUACUUUUGGUAGUCUUUAACUUAAAUCAAGUCAAUACAAACAUAAAUGGUAUCAAUUGCACUAACAUGGUAAAAUACAUAAUAGAGCAUAUAAGUUAAAAAUCCAUUUUACAGAUCAUGAUCUGCACAUCUUAAAACAUGGGCAGAGUUAAAUUUAUGAGUUUUUGGUCAUUAGAUCAUAGUAAAAUAUAGUACCAUACUAUUACAACCGAAACUUACUUAAUGAUUAAGUUAGAGAUCAGCAAAACAUAUGAAUUUUGGUUUAUGGGCAUUUUUUUAGUAUAGAUUAUGUUCAGCAGUUUGGAUCAUAAUUUUGACAGUCCAUUAUCGAUUAUGAUAUGAAUUUUGAGUUUUGAGCCUUUUUUUCGUAUAGAUUAUGUUCAACAGUUUGGACCUUGAAUUUUGAUUAUCCAUUAUUAAUUAUUGUUAACUCCUUUUUCAAAGAGAUUGUUGUUGUUGUUGUUGUUGU